AGAGUUUGAUCAUGGCUCAGAACGAACGUUGGCGGCGUGGAUUAGGCAUGCAAGUCGAACGGGAAAGUGCCUUCGGGCAUGAGUAGAGUGGCGAACGGGUGAGUAACGCGUGGGAAACCUGCCUUCGAGCGGGGGAUAACACCUCUAACGGGGUGCUAAUACCGCAUAACACCAGAAAGUCGCAUGGCUUUCUGUUCAAAGCUGGCCUCUGUUUCAAGCUAGCACUCGAAGAUGGUCCCGCGCCCGAUUAGCUUGUUGGUGGGGUAACGGCCCACCAAGGCAUCGAUCGGUAGCUGGUCUGAGAGGAUGGUCAGCCACACUGGGACUGAGAUACGGCCCAGACUCCUACGGGAGGCAGCAGUCGAGAGGCUUCGGCAAUGGGGGAAACCCUGACCGAGCGACGCCGCGUGAGGGAUGACGCCCUUCGGGGUGUAAACCUCUUUUCUGGGGGAAGAACCGUACCGGGGCGAAUAGGUCCGGUGCCUGACGGUACCCCAGGAAUAAGCUCCGGCUAACUCCGUGCCAGCAGCCGCGGUAAUACGGGGGGAGCAAACGUUGUUCGGAAUCACUGGGCGUAAAGGGCGCGUAGGCGGCUCGGUAAGUGGUGUGUGAAAGCCCCUGGCUCAACCAGGGAACUGCGCUCCAAACUACCGGGCUUGAGGGCAGUAGAGGAAACUGGAAUUCCUGGUGUAGCGGUGAAAUGCGUAGAUAUCAGGAGGAACACCGUUGGCGAAGGC
rnacentral:rRNA from 1 species